rnacentral:rRNA from 1 species
UAGGGAAUCUUCCGCAAUGGACGCAAGUCUGAAGGAGCAACGCCGCGUGAGUGAAGAAGGAUUUCGGUUCGUAAAACUCUGUUGUUAGAGAAGAACAGCGCAUAGAGUAACUGUUAUGCGUGUGACGGUAUCUAACCAGAAAGCCACGGCUAACUACGUGCCAGCAGCCGCGGUAAUACGUAGGUGGCAAGCGUUGUCCGGAUUUAUUGGGCGUAAAGCGAGCGCAGGCGGUCAAUUAAGUCUGAUGUGAAAGCCCCCGGCUCAACCGGGGAGGGUCAUUGGAAACUGGUUGACUUGAGUGCAGAAGAGGAGAGUGGAAUUCCAUGUGUAGCGGUGAAAUGCGUAGAUAUAUGGAGGAACACCAGUGGCGAAGGCGACUCUCUGGUCUGUAACUGACGCUGAGGCUCGAAAGCGUGGGUAGCAAACAGG